CAAAGGGUAGUUUAGUUAAAAUGCUAGUUUUGGGGACUAGUGAUGGAGGUUUAUACCCUCUCCUUUUGA
rnacentral:tRNA from 1 species